rnacentral:rRNA from 1 species
CCUACGGGGCGCUGCAGUGGGGAAUAUUGGACAAUGGGCGAAAGCCUGAUCCAGCCAUGCCGCGUGUGUGAAGAAGGCCUUCGGGUUGUAAAGCACUUUCAGUGGGGAAGAAAGCCUUGGGGCUAAUACCCUCGAGGAAGGACAUCACCCACAGAAGAAGCACCGGCUAACUCCGUGUCAGCAGCCGCGGUAAUACGGAGGGUGCGAGCGUUAAUCGGAAUUACUGGGCGUAAAGCGCGCGUAGGCGGUCUGAUAAGCCGGUUGUGAAAGCCCCGGGCUCAACCUGGGAACGGCAUCCGGAACUGUCAGGCUAGAGUGCAGGAGAGGAAGGUAGAAUUCCCGGUGUAGCGGUGAAAUGCGUAGAGAUCGGGAGGAAUACCAGUGGCGAAGGCGGCCUUCUGGACUGACACUGACGCUGAGGUGCGAAAGCGUGGGUAGCAAACAGGAUUAGAUACCCCGGUAGUC